rnacentral:lncRNA from 1 species
CCUCCAAAGCCUCCAGAAGAUGCUCCUCCGAAGCCUCCAGAAGAUGCUCCUCCGAAGCCUCCAGAAGGUGCUCCUCCGAAGCCUCCAGAAGGUGCUCCGCCGAAGCCUCCAGAAGGUGCUCCUCCGAAGCCUCCAGAAGAUGCUCCUCCAAAGCCUCUAGAAGGUGCUCCUCCAAAGCCUCCUGAAGGUGCUCCUGAGAACUGAGACGAGGAGCCCGACGCAGCUGCGUACGAUCCUCG